AGUGAACGCUGGCGGUAGGCCUAACACAUGCAAGUCGAACGGCAGCACAGUAAGAGCUUGCUCUUACGGGUGGCGAGUGGCGGACGGGUGAGGAAUACAUCGGAAUCUACUUUUUCGCGGGGGAUAACGUAGGGAAACUUACGCUAAUACCGCAUACGACCUACGGGUGAAAGCCGGGGAUCUUCGGACCUUGCGCGAUUGAAUGAGCCGAUGUCGGGUUAGCUAGUUGGCGGGGUAAAGGCCCACCAAGGCGACGAUCCGUAGCUGGUCUGAGAGGAUGAUCAGCCACACUGGAACGGAGACACGGUCCAGACUCCUACGGGAGGCAGCAGUGGGGAAUAUUGGACAAUGGGCGCAAGCCUGAUCCAGCCAUACCGCGUGGGUGAAGAAGGCCUUCGGGUUGUAAAGCCCUUUUGUUGGGAAAGAAAAGCAGCAGGUUAAUACCCCGCUGUUCUGACGGUACCCAAAGAAUAAGCACCGGCUAACUUCGUG
rnacentral:rRNA from 1 species